CCUCGCCUAUAUUUUCCAAACAUUGUUUCAACAUGAAGUAUUCGUAAUUACGCCAACACUGAACGCAGGCUCGCGUUUCUCGCGUCAUGUUAGUCAUGGCAACACGAUAAUUGUUUUUUUUUAAUUUUUUUGUACAAACCGGGAAAAAAUAGAUGAAAUUUGAACACUUUUAAACACAGAACUAUCAAUUUCUAAAAUACAUAAAGUAGGU